rnacentral:rRNA from 1 species
AACGAACGCUGGCGGCAGGUCUUAGGCAUGCAAGUCGAACGGGUGUAGCAAUACAUCAGUGGCGCACGAGUGAGUAACGAGUGGGAAUUUGCCCAUCGGUGGGGAAUAAAGUUUGGGAACGAACGCUAAUACCGCAUACGUCAAGAAAUCGAGAGAGAUUUAUCGCCGUAGGAUAAGCCCGCGUUGCAUUAGCUUGUUGGGAGGGUAAUGGCCUACCACGGCGAUGAUCCAUAGCUGGUCUGAGAGGCCGAUCAGCCACGCUGGGACUAGGACACGGCCCAGACUCCUACGGGAGGCAGCAGCGAAGAAUAUUGGACCAUGGAGUAAACUCUGAUCCAGCCAUGCUGCGUGAGUGAAGAAGGCCUUCGGGUUGUAAAGCUCUUUUAGUCGUGAGGAUGAUGACGGUAGCGACAGAAAAAGCACCGGCUAACUUCGUGCCAGCAGCCGCCGUAA